rnacentral:rRNA from 1 species
GAUGAACGCUGGCGGCGUGCCUAAUACAUGCAAGUCGAGCGAACAGACCAGGAGCUUGCUCCUCUGACGUUAGCGGCGGACGGGUGAGUAACACGUGGAUACCCUACCUAUAAGACUGGUAUAACUUCGGGAAACCGGAGCUAAUACCGGAUAAUAUAUUGAACCGCAUGGUUCAAUAGUGAAAGACGGUUUUGCUGUCACUUAUAGAUGGAUCCGCGCCGUAUGAGCUAGUUGGUAAGGUAACGGCUUACCAAGGCAACGAGGCGUAGACGACCUGUGAGAGUGGUAGGCCGCACUAGAGCGUGACCGCGCACCAUAGGACUAAGAGACGCCGCAGAAGCCAACCGUCCGCAGUAGGCGGAAAUUUGGCGGAACGAGCGGGAGCCAGUGACGACGGUGUCGGGAUCGUGAUACUCUGUUAUUAGUGAAAAACAACUGUGUCAGUAACUAUACACGGCUUGACGGUAAUUAAUCAGAAAGCACCGGCUAACUACGUG